rnacentral:rRNA from 1 species
AUUGAACGCUGGCGGCAUGCCUUACACAUGCAAGUCGAGCGGCAGCGCGGGGGCAACCCUGGCGGCGAGCGGCGAACGGGUGAGUAAUACAUCGGAACGUGUCCAGUAGCGGGGGAUAACCUGUCGAAAGAUAGGCUAAUACCGCAUACGACCUACGGGUGAAAGCGGGGGACCGCAAGGCCUCGCACUAUUGGAGCGGCCGAUGUCGGAUUAGCUAGUUGGCGGGGUAACGGCCCACCAAGGCGACGAUCCGUAGCUGGUCUGAGAGGACGACCAGCCACACUGGAACUGAGACACGGUCCAGACUCCUACGGGAGGCAGCAGUGGGGAAUUUUGGACAAUGGGCGCAAGCCUGAUCCAGCCAUGCCGCGUGAGUGAAGAAGGCCUUCGGGUUGUAAAGCUCUUUCGGCGGGGACGAAACGGUCCGUGCCAACACCACGGACUAGUGACAGUACUCGCAGAAGAAGCACCGGCUAACUACGUGCCAGCCGCCGCGGUAA